CGUACUUGAGGAGAUAGCUUGCUAGCUAAGAUCCUGUGUAUAAAGUCUGAUAUACAACAUAGAUUGUGAUCAUCCAUUCUUUCUCUAAGAAUCAAUACACAUAAUACUUUCAUUCUUUCUUUAUUUCUUUUUCGCAUUCAUUCUUUUGUUUGUUGUUCUUCACAGAACGAUUUCUUAGUUCUGUUAACACGGUAUCAAUCGCUUAGGACGAUCUGUUUGGUGUUUAAUGUUGAAGCUGCAUACUCUGAGGGCAGAAAGGUUUCUGGGUUCUUGCUGGUGCAUUCAUUCCGUUUCUGGGUUGUUGGUAUUCUCGGUCUUUGAUUCAUUUUGGUACUUGAAAUUUGUUGCAUAUGAUGUGUUUGAAGUAUUGCCUCAGUCAAAUGUAUAAGUGUUGUGAAGGCCGAUGUCAAUUGUUUGAAUCUGAUAGUUGUUUGAUUAAGAAAGAUUGAUGUUUGAAGUUUCAUUGUUUGAUUAAGAUUGAAAGGUUGAUAAAUUGAAAAGGUGAAAGAUUUUGAUUGUGUUACUUCAUAGAAAGGCCGAAACCAGAAGUACACUAUUUUGUUCUUUGAUAAUCAAGAUUCAGAAGUAAAUCUGGUGUUUUUUUUAUAUUUUAAAUGGAAGUGUUUCAAGAUACAAGGCCAGAUUGGUGGCUCAAGGAUAUUCUCAAGAACUAGGUGUGGAUUACUUAGACACUUUUAGUCCAGUAAUGAGACACACUACUAUGAGGAGAGUAUUAGCCUUAGUUGCAACCAAUCAUUGGAAGCUUAGGCAACUUGAUAUCAAAAAUGCUUUUCUGCAUGAUGACUUACAAGAAGGCAUUUAUAUGAAGCAACCACAGGGAUUUGUUGAUGCAUCUCAUCCUACAAAUGUGUGUAAACUAAUCAAGUCCCUGUACGGAUUAAAGCAGGUCCCAAGAGCAUGGAAUUCGAAGUUCACUUCUUAUCUGGUAGCAAUGAAUUUUCAGCCUUCUGCUUCUGAUAUAAGCCUAUUCACUAAGAAAGAUGGCAAUGGUAUUGUCAUUCUUCACCUAUAUAUGGAUGAUAUAAUCCUUACAGGCUCAAAUUCUCUUAUAGUACAGAAAGUGAUUGAUGAAUUAUCUGAAGUAUUUGAGCUCAAGGACAUGGGACAAUUGACAUAUUUUCUGGGAUAGAUUGAUUACAGGUCAAAUGGGGACAUUUUUUUGAAUUAAGCCAAAUAUAUAAAGGAUUUGAUCUAUAAGACAGGUAUGGACUCAUGUAAGCCUGGUAAUACUCCCUGUAAACCACAUGAUCAAAUUUUUAUUUCAGAUGGUCCUCUCAUGACAGAUCUCUCUCUUUAUAGAAUCAUUGUAGGUUCAUUACAAUACCUGACCUUCACUAGGCCAGAUAUUACAUAUGUUGUUAACACAGUAUGUUAAUUUAUGAACUCCCCUACGGACAUGCACUAUAAAGCAGUGAAAAUAAUACUAAGAUACCUACAAGGGACUUUGACUCAUGGAAUACUAUAUUAUGCUGGCACAGUGACAACGUUAACAACAUUUUCAGAUGCAGAUUGGCAACAAAUCUUAACACUUGCCUUUCAAUCACUGGUUAUGUGGUCUAUUUGGGCAAUAAUCAUGUGUCUUGUCAAUCAAAGAAGCAAAGUUCAGUGUCAAGAAGCUCCACAAAAGCAUAAUAUAAGGCCCUUGCUCACACUGCAACUGAUAUUGCUUGGGUGAGGGGAAUAUUGAAGGAUUUUGAAGUAUUUUUGCCAUCGCCACCUACAAUUCAUUGUGAUCACUUGUCCACAAUUGUACUCAGUGCAAAUCCAGUGUUUCAUUCUUGAACUAAGCACCUUGACGCGAAUUUUCACUUUAUAAGGGAGAGAGUUCAACAAGGAGAUUUGGAGGUUGUUUACACCCCAACAGAAGAUCAAACAGCUGAUGUACUUACAAAAGUAGCUACAUGAGCAAGGAGUUGGUGGUGUGUUACCAAAUAGGGUUCAGUAGCCGAAUCUCCAGCGAGGCAAGUUGGGUCUUGCCAAGCAAAGCAUCGUCCCAGUGUGUGGAUCCUGAUUGUAUAUGCGUGGUUACUGAAGGCAUAUGGCUUAUUCAACGUGAUCCAGUCCUUC